rnacentral:lncRNA from 1 species
AUCAUGAAUCCCAAUUAGAUGGCAGGUCGUGGAUAAAUCGUCAAACCUCAUCAUCAGUCAUAUGAUAGAUUCAAUUAGCUUAGGUCCAAUUGAGAUUAUCAUGAAAAUUCUUUUCCAUCCAUCAUAAUGCUGUGAUCACAGACUUUCGAACUUAGUCUCUUAAAUCUCAUAAAAUUACUCCUCUCUAUCAAGACCAACAUAUUCCAUCUAGAUAUAUACCCUACUCCUGUAGUGGAUCAACUGUCGUCAGCAUCUACUAUAAGGACUCAUUGAAAUUAUGUUUAUAUGUCAGUCAAACUCCAGCAACCUCACUGCGAGCAGUCAUACUAUC